GGAUAUGAGCUCAGGCGGAGGGAGAGAGGAGGACACACACCACAGAGGAGCGAAGCUGCGAGGACAGAGAGCAGGAAGGGCGGAAAGAUGCGUCCAAAAGACCCACCAAAACCACCAAAAACAGCCCGAAAAUGCGACGCUACACCGGGGAGAAGACGGCAGGUAGACACGGCAUUGAGGAAAUGGGGAUUCCCUUGAAGUUUAGCAAAAUGCGUCAAAGAAGAACGAGAUCAUCUGAUCCACGCUAAAUGGGUUGACAUUUAACCACCAUGGAACCGUGAAUUGACGGAUACUGGGGAUUCGCUCCGCAACAGGGAUUUCGGAGACGGGAAGACAUGGUGUGAAGAUAUUUCAAAAAUUGAAGAAAAAGAAGACAGCUCUACGGCACUCAACUGGAUAUUGCUGAAGCGAAGACCGCGUUGUUUAACGUGAAGAUGGAAAAGUUAUUUGGCAGUUAGCCAAAAUUUGACAAGAUGAAACCUUUUUUGACUGGACUUUGACAUUUGGAUUUUAUUUUUUUUACGACAACAUGGACAAUGGAACGCUGUUGCUGGCUGUAUAGCGAACUUGAAAAUCACAAAAAUAUUUUGGAAACACGAAAUCAGCCUUUGUACAUUUGAUUUUCAAAUGUUGUUUUAAAUAAAGUGUAUGUCCUCAUA